GUUGAAUAGGCUGAUGCCCGGGUAAAGUCCCGGGCAUACCGAUAAUCAAUACGGGCCUUGAGAGAGGAAGCCCCGGAGAUGGAUUCUGAGACAAGAAUCCAGGUCCUACGGCACGCAUCAGGCGCGAAAAUUCCACAAUGCGCGAAAGCGUUAUGGAGAGACCCGAAGUGGCUUCGCAAAGCGGAGUCUUUUGCCAAGUCCAAAAAGCUUGGAGAAUAAGGGGUGGGUAAGACGGGUGCCAGCCGCCGCGGUAAUACCCGCGCCCCUAGUGGUAGCCGCUUUUAUUGGGUUUAAAGCGUCCGUAGCCGGUUUGCAUAGUUUCUAAUGAAAUCUCACAGUAAACUGGGAGAAUUGUUAGGAAUACUGGCAAGCUUGGGACCGGGAGAGGUAAGGAGUACUGUAGGGGUAAGGGUAAAAUGUGAUGCUCGCGAAAAAUCGCUCACAAACAAUGCUAAGCAUUCGCUUACAUUCUUAUAAUCCUUACAGGACUACCAGUGGCGAAGGCGCCUUACUAGAACGGAUCCGACGGUGAGGGGCGAAAGCUAGGGGAGCAAAGGGGAUUAGAUACCCCCGUAGUCCUAGCUGUAAACGAUACCCACUAGACGUUGGAUAUCCUACGAGGGUAUCCAGUGUCACAGGGAAACCGAUAAGUGGGUCACCUGGGGAGUACGGCCGCAAGACUGAACUUAACGGAAUUGGCGGGGGAGCACACAAGGGGUGGAGGCUGCGGUUUAAUUGGAUUCAACGCCAGGAACCUUACCAGAGGCGACAGCAGAAUGAAGGUCAAGCUGAAGACUUUACCAGACAAGCUGAGAAGUAGUGCAUGGCCGUCGUCAGUUCGUGUCGUGAGAUGUCGCGUUAAGUCGCGUAACGAACAAGACCCGUGCCCUAUGUUGCAACCUUUUAAUCUAUUAAGAGGGCACUCAUAGGGGACCGCUGCCGAAAAGGCAGAGGAAGGUGCGGUCGACGGCAGGUCUGUAUGCCCUGAAUCCUCUGGGUUACACGCGGCCUACAAUGGGUAGUACAAUGAGAUGCAACACCGAAAGGUGAAGCCAACCUCCAAAACUGCCCCUAGUUCAGAUCGAGGAUUGCAACUCAUCCUCGUGAAGCCGAAAUCCCUAGUAGUCGCUGGUUAGCAUCCAGCGGCGAAUACGUUCCUGCUCCUUGCACACACUGCCCGUCAAGCCAUCUGAAUGGGGCGUUGGUGAGGCUUCUCCAUUUUGGAAGAGUCGAGCCAGUGG
rnacentral:rRNA from 1 species